rnacentral:rRNA from 1 species
GACGAACGCUGGCGGCGUGCUUAACACAUGCAAGUCGAACGGAAAGGCCCUGCUUUUGUGGGGUGCUCGAGUGGCGAACGGGUGAGUAACACGUGAGUAACCUGCCCUUGACUUUGGGAUAACUUCAGGAAACUGGGGCUAAUACCGGAUAGGAUCUCCUGCUGCAUGGUGGGGGUUGGAAAGUUUCGGCGGUUGGGGAUGGACUCGCGGCUUAUCAGCUUGUUGGUGGGGUAGUGGCUUACCAAGGCUUUGACGGGUAGCCGGCCUGGGAGGGUGACCGGCGACAUUGGGACUGAGAUACGGCGCAGACGCGAACGGGAGGCAGCAGUGGAGAAUAUUACAGAGUGGGCGGGAGCGUGAGGCGGCAAAGCCGCGUGCGGGAUGACGGGCUUCGGGUUGUGAACCACUUUCGCCUGUGACGAAGCGUGAGUGACGGUAAUGGGUAAAGAAGCACCGGCUAACUACGUG